rnacentral:lncRNA from 1 species
GCCACAACUUGUCCUGAGGAAACGCCCAGUGUCCUUUACCAAAAAAUAUGUAAAGGGGCUCAUCUUCCAUGAAAGCAAUUCGCAAAAGAAAUAAGAGUUUCAAAAUAUACUCAGAGACCAAGUAAGGUUGUCCCCUCCGUGCCUCUAAAGGAUUAUUUCAAGUUUCCCAUGCUCAGUCUGUGUGCAUCCAGAAAGCUGUAACUUCUUGGCUGAGCUCAAGCUGAACUGAUAGGAACUCCUGGCUGAAAGAUUAACAAGAUAUUUACACUCAUUUUCACAGGGGAACCUCAACAAGGGUCGUUAGCAAAUGAUUUGUUUGGCUUUCUGGACUGAACCCCAGGAAAGUACAUAAAAAUGCUAAUUAGAUGUUAAGAGAACACAAGGAAUCCUUGAGAAAUCAUUGAGGUGGUCACCCUACUUUGGCAAAGCCUCAGAGUCAGUAGAUAAGUCUGCCUUAUAAAAGAGAUUCAGAGAAAUGAGUUGGCAAGACCCCCUUGGUGCCCUGUUACCAUGAGUUCUGUUAAAGGAAACCCUUCCUUACAAUGCACUAAGCCCCACCUCGAGCCUCUGUUGCUGUGUUCUGUUCUAGAGGCAGCAACACUCAAAUGACUGGUUUCCUUCUGUGUGUAGGCAAGUUCCAUAUGCUCCAUUUCAUCAAUACCUGGCUUUUUCAAGGUUAACCCAGCCCGGAUUUUCAAGGACACAUUUCUUUUUAUAAAACCCUUUGUAACAGUUUCCAUCUGUCUCUUUUGCAGAUUGAGAAACACAGCAGGAUGAAUAAUAAAAGAUCCAGGAUAAAGUUGUGCUAGGAAACAAGAAACGGCAAAGACCCAGCGAUAAGAGCAGCCCACCACCUGCCAGGUCACGGAAGGCAAGAAUGCGAUGCUGCCCUCUGGAGCCCCCAAAGAGGUUGUCUGGGAAAUAAGAAAGCUCAGUCAGACAUCAUUCUUUUUUGUAGACAUAACUGAAAUUAGUGAAAGCCCGUGUCAUGAGCCAGAUGGGAGGAGAGAACCCCUGGGCACAGGCACCUCAUAGCGCCCAGUCCAUGUAAUUCUGUCUAAAUGGGUUGCCAACCAGCUCUCAUAUCAGCAAUAGAGUCUUUGUUCACACAGUAAUAAACUGAAGUGUACAAUUGAGUUUACA